CAGUCGCCGCGGGAAUACGUAGGGUGCAAGCGUUAAUCGGAAUUACUGGGCGUAAAGCGUGCGCAGGCGGUGAUGUAAGACAGUUGUGAAAUCCCCGGGCUCAACCUGGGAAUGGCAGUGGAUACUGGCAAGCUAGAGUGUGUCAGAGGAUGGUGGAAUUCCCGGUGUAGCGGUGAAAUGCGUAGAGAUCGGGAGGAACAUCAGUGGCGAAGGCGGCCAUCUGGGACAACACUGACGCUGAGGCACGAAAGCGUGGGGAGCAAACAGGAUUAGAUACCCCUGUAGUCCCUGUCUCUUAUAC
rnacentral:rRNA from 1 species